GAAAGAAAAUACAUUCAACAUAUUCAAAUAGCCUAUAUAAACUCAUUGCUUCAGUCAGUUAAAACAUCACCAUGAUCUGACAAGUUCCUUAAAAUUAAUUUUGCAACUAAGCACCCAAAUACAGGUACAAGCAGUGAUGUGCAAACGAGGAUGUUUUAUAACUGAUGAAGAUAAAGUGAAAGUAAAUCGAUUCACUUCGAUUUGGUGAACUGGUUCGACCGGUUCACUAAGAAGAUCCGGUCAAAUAGAACGAUUCGUUAGCAAACCUUACGUCACUGUGUGGCUGUCAAUCACCGCACCGGUGUGGAUACUGCACUUUGUUCACAGAUUCUACAUCUUGAAAAUAUGACCCAAAUAAGAGUUUUCACUGGAGAAUGUCAUCUAAACAAAUAUAUGCAAAAACAGAACAUCCGUCAAAUUAACGCAUGGCAGGAAUAUAUAUGGAGCAUCACACGCUGCAGGAGAAGGACGACACGAAAACGAAAGAGAAAAAUGUCAAGCAAAAAGGACAAGUUACAACCAAAUGAAUCGAAAAGUAAAACUACCAUGAUAGUUAGACGGAGCAGCAUUAAUAGUGGCAAACCCAACAUGUCUAAUGAUGCAGGAUAUUUCACUCUGAUGUCUCAGAACAAGAUGAGAAGAGGCACUAACCCAUAGAAACUGUAGAAAUUAUGCACAAAUCUGAGUGUUUUCUUUGUUUUAAGAAAGCAGUUAUUCAACACCACUGCUAGUCAGUGAUUAUACAGUGUAUAUAGCAUACAUUUGUUAUAUUUUAUCACAUUUAUUUUUAUAUAUAUUUUAUAAUAUUACAGAGUUAUGGAAUAUUAGCUUCAACAAAUAUAGUAAAGACAGGUAGGUUGUAUGUAGGUGUUUUAAUGUUAUUUUGUAAUUAUAUACAGUAUUUUAAAAUUAGAAUCAUCUGAAACUUGUAUUCUAUUUUAUUAUAAUUAAAAUGAACUAGAAUUAUUUUUUUAAAGAAUUUUACUGUAAUAAAUCUGUACUACUGUAGGGGGAAUGAACUGGC
ensembl:lncRNA